CCUACGGGAGGCAGCAGUGGGGAAUAUUGCACAAUGGGGGAAACCCUGAUGCAGCGACGCCGCGUGAGUGAAGAAGUAUUUCGUUAUGUAAAGCUCUAUCAGCAGGGAAGAAAAUGACGGUACCUGACUAAGAAGCCCCGGCUAACUACGUGCCAGCAGCCGCGGUAAUACGUAGGGGGCAAGCGUUAUCCGGAUUUACUGGGUGUAAAGGGAGCGUAGACGGCAGUGCAAGUCUGGAGUGAAAGCCGGGGGCUGAACCCCGGAACUGCUUUGGAAACUGUGCGGCUGGAGUGCAGGAGAGGUAAGUGGAAUUCCUAGUGUAGCGGUGAAAUGCGUAGAUAUUAGGAGGAACACCAGUGGCGAAGGCGGCUUACUGGACUGUAACUGACGUUGAGGCUCGAAAGCGUGGGGAGCAAACAGGAUUAGAUACCCCUGUAGUC
rnacentral:rRNA from 1 species